GAUGAAAGACGUAGUAACUUGCGAUAAGCCCAGAUUAGGUAGUAACAACCAUUUGAGUCUGGGAUUUCUGAAUGGGGAAACCCACGUGCAUAAGCACGUAUCCUUACCUGAAUACAUAGGGUAAGGAAGCGAACCGGGGGAACUGAAACAUCUAAGUACCCCGAGGAAAAGAAAUCAACCGAGAUUCCGAAAGUAGCGGCGAGCGAAAUUGGACUAGCCCUUAAGCUUUACACGCGUUAGACGAACGGUCUGGAA
rnacentral:rRNA from 1 species